AACGAAAACAACAACACCUAAAAUGUGGAAUAUAGCAUAUAGUCGACAAGAGAAAUCUACGAAAAACAAACAAAACUUUCAACAACGGAUCUCUUGGUUCUCGCAUCGAUGAAGAGCGCAGCGAAAUGCGAUACCUAGUGUGAAUUGCAGCCAUCGUGAAUCAUCGAGUUCUUGAACGCACAUUGCGCCCCUCGGCAUUCCGGGGGGCAUGCCUGUUUGAGCGUCGUUUCCAUCUUGCGCGUGCGCAGAGUUGGGGGAGCGGAGCGGACGACGUGUAAAGAGCGUCGGAGCUGCGACUCGCCUGAAAGGGAGCGAAGCUGGCCGAGCGAACUAGACUUUUUUUCAGGGACGCUUGGCGGCCGAGAGCGAGUGUUGCGAGACAACAAAAAGCUCGACCUCAAAUCAGGUAGGAAUACCCGCUGAACUUAAGCAUAUCAAUAAGCGGAGGAAA
rnacentral:rRNA from 1 species